GUUAUAGGCAUGUAAUUUCAUAUUAUUAAGGGCAAUAAAUUGCACUUUAAUAAAAUGCCCCAAAUUUUAUGCUUUUUAGGGCAUAUAAUUAAGAAAGACAGUGCUCAAGGUUCAUUGAGCUGAUGUAUAGUGCAUUUAUGCGUGGUGCUACGUGGCAUUUAAAGAAAGCCUUCAAAUUUGGUUGGUUUUUAUUGUCUGAGUAUGCCCUAUCAGAUUAGGAGAGAAUUUUUCUUUUUUUCGCUAGAGU
rnacentral:lncRNA from 1 species